rnacentral:rRNA from 1 species
CUACGGGAUGCAGCAGUAGGGAAUUUUCCACAAUGGGGGCAACCCUGAUGGAGCAACGCCGCGUGCAGGAUGACAGCCUUCGGGUCGUAAACUGCUUUUAUGGAUGAAGAAUAUGACAGUAGUCCAAGAAUAAGGGACGGCUAACUACGUGCCAGCAGCCGCGGUCAUACGUAGGUCCCAAGCGUUAUCCGGAAUUACUGGGCGUAUAGAGUUGCGUAGGUGGUUUAUUAAGCAGAGUAUGAAAGCGUGCGGCUCAACCGUAUACACGUAUUCUGAACUGGUAGACUUCGAGGGCGAGAGAGGUUACUGGAAUUUCUUGUGUAGGAGUGGAAUCCGUAGAUACAAGAAGGAACACCGAUGGCGUAGGCAGGUAACUGGCUCGCACCUGACACUUGGGCACGAAAGCGUGGGGAGCAAACGGGAUUAGAUACCCCUGUAGUC